rnacentral:tRNA from 1 species
UGGAUAGCUGAGUCGGUAGAGCAUGAGACUCUUAAUCUCAGAGUCAUGGCUUUGAGCCCCACGUUGGGCAAAA